UUAGAAAUUAAAAUCGGCCCAUUAGCUAAAUUAAAGCCCAAAUAUAGCUUAAGCCCAAUUUAAAAAAAAAGUAACUAAAACUAGAGAAUAGAAAUCACCUCUCACUUUCUCUCUCUCCCAAUUCGGUUCCCCCCCUUCCCUUAUCUCUCCAAUUUCUCACUACACACCCACUGCCUCCCUUCUCCCUCCAUAGCUCCGCCGCCGGCCGCCUGCCCCAGCUCCGGCGAAAUCUUCGCCGGAAACACCUCCCUCUGGUCGUCCCCCUCUCACCCCACUCUAUCCAUCGUUUCUCACCCUCUCUUCUUCCCCCUUAAACAUCCGCCGUCUGCUCCCUUCUCCGGUGAUAAUCGCCGGCAGCCGCGUCCUCCCACACGGCCACUUCACUCUCGCCACCUCUCUCUCUCUCUCGCCCUCACGCCGCCUCGCCUCCUGCCAGCCAACAGCCGUCCGUCUUGGGCCUCCGCCUCCUCCUCCGCCUGCUUUAGCUACGAGCGGCCGGUGGGCUGCUGCCACCUGCAGCACCGGCAGCUGCGACUUUGUCAACUCAGAGUGAGGCUCCGACAGACCCCCUCCCAGCUCUCACCACUUUCUCGACUCUCACUCUCUCCGAAGGUAAGCAAGAAAGAUUCAACUCAGAUUCGAAGAAAAUAAAGAUGGGUUCUUGGAGAAAUCUGAAAUUGCAUAAAUGUUAUGUCCUUAGGUUUUCUUGUUUCCAAAGGUUCUGUACAAAUUCUUCUUUGUUUCUGAAGAUUACGGAAAUGUAGUUGAGUAUAGGAGUAUGAAGUUGAACCUUAGACACACAAUUAUGGUGGCAGCGGUGAAGAAAUGGUGGCUUUUGUUGUAUUUUGGUUCUGUGGAGUAUAAAAUGAGCUUGAUUAUCUGCUGCAGAAGAUUGUCUUGGAAAAUAGAUGGAGUUGCGUAUAGGAUCAAUUGUCAAGAUUUGGAAAUAAAGUAGUAAAAGAUUUGGCACUGCAGAAUUUUUUGGGAAAUGGAAGAUUUGAUACUGCAAAAUUUUUGGGGAAAAUGGAGAAUGUUUCAGCCUUCAUGCUCACACGUUGCUGUUCUCACCAAAACUUCAAAUUUUAGGCUGUAGGCCCCAAAAAAAUUAUUCAACUCAUAAGUAAAAAUUUAGGGUUAAUAGCCGGAAAAUACAUGAACUAUUUUCAAAUUUGCAUAUUGCACAUCACCUUCAAAAAUAGCCUCAGAAUACAUCACUUUUUAAUUUUGUUGCAAAUUGCACAUGCGUUGACCACCACCUUGAUCGGUGUUGACGUGGCACCGGAAUUUUCAGACGUGGACUUACCGGCAUUCAAAACGACGUCGUUUUAAGUCUUCAUGAGCAACCGCUGCUCCUGAAUCUCCGCCAGCAUGAGAGUGACGUGCAGCGGCGAGGAAUCGAUCUGUUUCUACUAGUAGGCGCAUUUGGAGCUCGGCGUAGGCGGCCUUGGCGGUGGAGAUGGUGGUGAAGAGCUUGGCGACGAAAGCUUCCAUGGCGGCGCGGGUCUUGCAGUCCUCCAUGGCUUCCUCGGCAUCCUCGGUCUCGAAUUGACGCGACUCGCAGCAGCGGAGCUUGUCUUGACGAAUCAAGAGGCAGAAUACUCCUGGGUUGGAGCGGUGUCUUGAGCCGAAGAAAAUGGGGGAAAUGGGGGGGGGGGGUUUUGCUGCGAAAACCCUAGAUCCGAAGCGGGUUGUCCUCGCUGCUUCUUUAGGGGCGGCGGCGAGCCACCGUUGCUAUUGCCAUCAAUUGAGGACGGAGCCGUCCUUGGAAGGGUUUCUGAAAUAAGGAGAAGUUUUGGGUGUUUUGGUGUUUUGAGUCAGAAUGAGAGACGAGGGGCGGCGUCCGACGUUGGAGUUGCAGGGAGGAGGGAGGCUGCGGUGGGCGCCGGUCUGCUGCUGCGUCGGCGUCGGAGUUGCAAAUGCUCAAAGGGGCGGUGGAGAUUUCUUUGAUGUUUGAUUUCUUUGAUUUUUGUGGUGGAGAUUUUUGUGGUGGUGAUUAAGGUGGAGGUGAGGGAAAACAGUGGCUUGCCGGAUUCUGAAAAUGGUGAUGGUUCGUCGGAUUCUGGAAUGGCUCGCCGGAAAAGUAAGGAUUUUUUUUUUUAAUUCUUCAAAAUAUCAAAACGACGUCGUUUUGCCCACGUGGCUUGCCAGCGUGUAAAAAAAUCCACGAGUAAUGCCAUGUAAUGUUAAAUAUUGUCCACGUCAUCGCCGGUCAAACUUAAGAACUGCCGGAACUUUCGCCGUGUGCAAUUUACGAUAAAAUUAAAAGGUGAUGUAUUCUGAGGCUAUUUUUGAAGCUCG